rnacentral:rRNA from 1 species
UACGUAGGGGGCAAGCGUUAUCCGGAAUUACUUGGGUGUAAAGCGUGCGUAGACGGUUACAUAAGUCGGGUGUGAAAGCCCCGGGCUCAACCUGGGAAUUGCAUUCGAGACUGCGUAGCUAGGGUGCGGAAGAGGGAAGCGGAAUUUCCGGUGUAGCGGUGAAAUGCGUAGAUAUGCGGAGGAACACCGAUGGCGAAGGCAAUCCCCUGGGCCUGCACUGACGCUCAUGCACGAAAGCGUGGGGAGCAAACAGG